AUUGAACACUGGCGGCAUGCUUUACACAUGCAAGUCGAACGGUAACAGGUUAAGCUGACGAGUGGCGAACGGGUGAGUAAUGCAUCGGAACGUGCCCGUUCGUGGGGGAUAACGCAGCGAAAGCUGCGCUAAUACCGCAUACGAUCUGAGGAUGAAAGCGGGGGACCGUAAGGCCUCGCGCGAUCGGAGCGGCCGAUGUCAGAAUAGGUAGUUGGUGGGGUAAAGGCUCACCAAGCCAACGAUCUGUAGCUGGUCUGAGAGGACGACCAGCCACACUGGGACUGAGACACGGCCCAGACUCCUACGGGAGGCAGCAGUGGGGAAUUUUGGACAAUGGGCGAAAGCCUGAUCCAGCAAUGCCGCGUGCAGGAAGAAGGCCUUCGGGUUGUAAACUGCUUUUGUACGGAGCGAAAAGGCUCUCUCUAAUACAGGGGGCUCAUGACGGUACCGUAAGAAUAAGCACCGGCUAACUACGUGCCAGCCGCCGCGGUAA
rnacentral:rRNA from 1 species